CCCAGGCUAAACCCUUGAAUAAAUCAGUGGCUUUGUGAAGCAAAGGUGUGACUCUGGAGAAGUCGCACCUCACCGCGCAGUUUCCCCGUUCAUCACGGGGAGCUUGUGAUCCACUCUGACCCCGAGCUGAAAACCCUCCUGGCACGCUCAGCAUUCUGGCGACUGUUCAGCUCCAGACCCAGCCUAAACAAGCGAGCUCUGGGUGGUGGUCGGAUCAAUAUUUGUUGGAAAAUCGCGUACCAAAGGACAAAUUCUAUUGUGUACGCAGUGCUUGUUUUGCAAUAGGAGUGGCCGUCUCUGAGGAAGGGGGUGCACACAUGAGAUGCACUCAGUGCAGGGAGCGUGUGGGGGAGCUCAGUGCAUUCCCUUCCACGCUGCAAGAGCACAAAUGCUCAACAGCUGCAUCUAAAGAAGAAUUGUUCUGAAUGUUUAAGCCAAAACAGUCCAUGGAGGAACUUCUUGGGAAACUGGUGAACUUUAACCUUCCCAGGAUAAGAACGCUACCCACACUAAGAAGAGGCUCAUGAGAAUGGCCCCCUCAAGACUCUUCAGCUACAAGAGAGCCAAGGAGAAAUUGAUGCAGAACUUAAAAGACUAGACAAAGGAAUCAGGGGAAAAGAAGAGCUAAAAUGAAACUAAAUCAUCCCUUGUCCCCUAAAAUACACUGUCAGAUAUGAAUAUAUUAAUUAGGAAGGCCAAACUACAGCCAUACCAACACUCCUGCCUCUAAUGCAAAGUUUAUUCAUUGUUCCCAGCUUCAGUGAAUCACACAAAACAUGGUGUAUUAGAUCCUUACAAGUCUGUGCUUGGCUGGCUUUUUGGGGGGAAGUGUGGGGGGGGUGUGAAGUUUGAUUUUGUAUUUUAGAAAACCCAAACACCACCAUAACUUUAUUCACACAUCCAAGACCUAGUACAAACUGUGCAAUUCAAGAAAUUCUCUGGUUCCUAGAAAAAACUAAUUCACAGCAGUUAAAAGUUCAAUUGGGCUUAGCUUAAUUUUUAAAAAGUUGUAAAAUAUUGAGUAGUUUCCACAUUCCAUCACAAAUACUCUGCAUUUUAAAGAGGAAACAGACUCCCUACAUUUACAUUCAAGUACUGUCAAGUCACCUGUACUUCAAAUCCAUGCCUUCAGCAAGACUAACAAGUGCUGCACUGUUAUCUCCCCCAGACUAUCCUCACUUCAAAGGGUUAUGUGCAGGCUCAUGACUGGAGUUUCUUUCUGCCUUGCAGCUGCUAAGAGCUGACCACCUUCUUAAGCAGCCUUAGCCUUAUUUUGUGCAACACAGGUCUGUCUUAAAACCUCUCCACAUCUAUUUUUACAAGCCAGGCUCAUCUCAGUCUUAUUAGUUCCACAUUUACAAUACGCAAUACAAUAUGAAGAUAAUCAAAUUCAGUGAGCAAGCUUGCAGCCACAUCUGGGAAAUCUGAUGCCACAUUCAGGAGGCCUCUGGGUUGAUCCACAUGCUGUAAUAAGAAUGAAAAUCUAAGUUCCAACCAAGUAUCAUUUGAAACCCACCUUUAGGAGUUAAGAGAAUUCCAAAGGUACACUUCUACAGCAGUGUAACAGCAAUGAGAAAAAUCCCCAACAAGCCACAUUGGCCUCAACAAUGUACACACAUUAGGAUUUUCUUUUUCUGUGUGAUGUUUCUUCAGUUAUUUGAGAUUGUCUUGAUGUCAGUUUAGCUGAGUGUGUCUGCUUUGUACAUAAGCAACUGGUAAAAAUUCUCCUGGCUUCUGCAAAGGAGGAGGAACCUGAAGACACUGAAAGUAGGGCAGUGACUAAGCAUCUGAAUAAUGCAAGACACAUUAAAGCAUAAUUAACAUACAGCAGUUACAGUAAAGCUAUUCAUUACCCACUUUUAGAGGCAACAGAUUCUUCCUUAAUUGUACGCACAAGAUGUUAAGUUUCCAUCAAGCUCAGCCAAGUUUGUUGUUCUGGGUUUUGCUGCAAUUUUUUCAAAUAAAAAGAACAAAUACAAUACAAUCAGGUUUCCAGCAAAGCAUAAAUACAGAUCUGUUCAAGUGAAGCCACCCAAAACUGUUGUUUCCACAAUUUGUGUGUCUGGCAUACCCACUCCACUGGACCAAAUACAUUGGGAUCUUAGACAGAAAACAAGACAUGUUUAUAGGGAGGAUAUACAGAGAUUUAUUUAAUCAGGUUUACUAUUUACAGCUGAGAUCACUUUCACAUACUACUCUGCUACUCUACAUAGCUACAUUGUUUCCAAACCAAUUGAAGGUCUACAGUCUAACAGUUCACUCAACACAUAAAAUGCUCUUCAUAGAAAAAUGAAAUAUUUCAUUAUAGAACAGUAGUGCAUACAUUAUACUCCUGAAAAGCCAGCUUGUAUUUUAAACCACUAAUGUUUGAAAGACUGAAUCUCUGAAGGUCAAAACUGCAGUCACAUAAUCCUAAAAUCGGUUAGGUUUUUUUUUUAAAUUUUUUUUUUUUUUUUUUACAAUUUCCUUAUAUAUAAAGCAUACUGGACUUAAGUGUUUCUUUCUUAAAAGUGACACUGGUGAGGGGCAAGAUUAAAA